UACGAAGGGGGCUAGCGUUGCUCGGAAUCACUGGGCGUAAAGCGCACGUAGGCGGAUUUCUAAGUCAGGGGUGAAAUCCUGGAGCUCAACUCCAGAACUGCCUUUGAUACUGGAGAGCUUGAGUCCGGGGAGAGGUGAGUGGAACUCCGAGUGUAGAGGUGAAAUUCGUAGAUAUUCGGAAGAACACCAGUGGCGAAGGCGGCUCACUGGCCCGGUACUGACGCUGAUGUGCGAAAAGCGUGGGGAGCAAUCCGGG
rnacentral:rRNA from 1 species